GACGUAGGAGGCAAGCGUUAUCCGGAUUUAUUGGGCGUAAAGCGCGUGCAGGCGGUUUGGUAAGUUGGAUGUGAAAUCUCUUGGCUUAACCGGGAGAGGUCGUUCAAAACUACCAGACUAGAGAAUGGUAGAGGAAGGUGGAAUUCCGGGUGUAGUGGUGAAAUGCGUAGAUAUCCGGAGGAACACCAGUGGCGAAAGCGGCCUUCUGGACCAUUUCUGACGCUAAGAUGCGAAAGCUAGGGUAGCAAACGGG
rnacentral:rRNA from 1 species